rnacentral:rRNA from 1 species
GGCGGCGUGCCUAACACAUGCAAGUCGAACGGACUAGGGGAGCUUGCUCCCUGAGUUAGUGGCGAACGGGUGAGUAACGCGUGAAGAACCUGCCUUUCAGUGGGGGACAACAGUUGGAAACGACUGCUAAUACCGCAUAAUGUAUUCGGGCGGCAUCGUCUGGAUACCAAAGCUUAAUGUGCUGAAAGAUGGCUUCGCGUCUGAUUAGCUAGUUGGCGGGGUAACGGCCCACCAAGGCGACGAUCAGUAGCCGGUCUGAGAGGAUGAACGGCCACAUUGGGACUGAGAUACGGCCCAGACUCCUACGGGAGGCAGCAGUGGGGAAUAUUGGGCAAUGGGGGAAACCCUGACCCAGCAACGCCGCGUGAAGGAAGAAGGCUUUCGGGUUGUAAACUUCUUUUAGCAGGGACGAAGGACGUGACGGUACCUGCAGAAAAAGCAACGGCUAACUACGUGCCAGCAGCCGCGGUAAUACGUAGGUUGCAAGCGUUGUCCGGAAUUACUGGGUGUAAAGGGCGUGUAGGCGGAGAUGCAAGUCAAGAGUGAAAUCCCCGGGGCUCAACCCCGGAACUGCUUUUGAAACUGUAUCCCUUGAGUGUCGGAGAGGGCAAGCGGGAAUUCCCUAGUGUAGCGGUGAAAUGCGUAGAUAUUUAGGAGGAACACCCAGUGGCGAAGGCGGCUUGCUGGACGAUUACUGACGCUGAGACACGAAAGCGUGGGGAGCAAAACAGGGAUUAGAUACCCUGGUAGUCCACGCUGUAAACGAUGAAUGCUAGGUGUGGGGGUGCAAACUUCCGUGCCGCAGUUAACACAAUAAGCAUUCCACCUGGGGAGUACGGCCGCAAGGUUGAAACUCAAAGGAAUUGACGGGAGCCCGCACAAGCAGUGGAGUAUGUGGUUUAAUUCGACGCAACGCGAAGAACCUUACCAGGACUUGACAUCCUAAGAAGUCGGCGUAAUGGCUGAUGUGCCUUUCGGGGAACUUAGAGACAGGUGGUGCAUGGUUGUCGUCAGCUCGUGUCGUGAGAUGUUGGGUUAAGUCCCGCAACGAGCGCAACCCUUACGUUUAGUUGCUACGCAAGAGCACUCUAGACGGACUGCCGUUGACAAAACGGAGGAAGGCGGGGAUGACGUCAAAUCAUCAUGCCCCUUACACUCUGGGCUACACACGUACUACAAUGGCGAAAACAAAGGGAAGCAAUACCGCGAGGUGGAGCAAACCCCAUAAAAGUCGUCCCAGUUCGGACUGCAGGCUGCAACCCGCCUGCACGAAGUUGGAAUUGCUAGUAAUCGCGGAUCAGCAUGCCGCGGUGAAUACGUUCCCGGGCUUUG